GUCUACGACUAUAUCACCCUGAAUGCAGCUGAUUUUAGAAGCUAAGCAAGGUCAGGCCUGGUUAGUACUUGGAUGGGAGAAAACAGUUAUGAAUGACC
ensembl:rRNA 5S_rRNA 5S ribosomal RNA